GCUGCCUCUAAACUACCCGUCAGGAAAAAUAAAAUCUAUAAGGUAAUCGUAGUCUAGGAGCCAUCAAUCCCCAAAUGCUUCUCUUAGAAAACGAAUGCCAACAAUUUAGCUAAACAUCUUCCUUGGAAGUGAGCCAUUUCCCAUGUCUCUCUGUUCUCCAAACCGCGAUGAAAUUUCAACCUGCCCAACACGAUUACUGGUCCACCUAGAAAUGCCGUGGAGCGAUUUAAGAGCCUCGGAAAUUUCCUUUAAGACUAGUCUCACUCUGUUGCCCAGGCUGGAGUGCAGUGGCGCGAUCUCAGCUUACUUCAGCCUCCGCCUCCCGGUUUCAAGUGAAUUCUCCAGCCUCAACUUCACAAGUAGCUGGGAUUACAGGGCAUUCAAGCAGCCCUGAGGAGAGGUCCACAUGGUGAGCCACUGAGGGCCUUGCCAAGAGCCAGCACCAACGGUCCAGGUUUGGAGUGUACCACCUUGGAAGUGAAUCUUCCAGUCCAGUCAAGCCUUCAGAUGACUUCAGAACCGUCCAUGUAAGCCACUCUUGGAUUCCUGACCCACAGAAACUGUUGGAGCUGCCAAUUUGCAGGAAAUAGAGGAGAGAAGCAUCUGUUGAACUGCACCAUGAGUAUACACUCAGCAAAGGCCAAACUGUGGAAAAUGAUACAGGUCAAACAGCCUGGAUUCUUUAACAGUGAUGUUUCUGAAGCACCAAUGAAAAUGAAGUCCUGAAGUCCUGUGCUCAAUAUGAAAUGUUGGAAGUUAGAAGAAAAAAACAAAACUUGGAUCCAAUCUCAAGGCACUUUUUGUUUAAUGGGAAGAAGUGGAUUAUUUUAAAAGCUACAAAUAAAGUUACAUAAAAGUAGCAAA
rnacentral:lncRNA from 1 species